CCAGAGCAGCAGGUGAAAGUCGGGCUGGCACCUGCACACACCCACUGCCACCGCUCCCUGUGGGCUGGACGCUGCUGUGCCGCGGCAGAGAUCCCUUCCACACCCCGCACCUUCCUCCUCCCGGGCGGGCUCGGCCGGGAGCAUCCCGGUCCUCCUUGCCCGAGGCUGCUCUGCCGCUCCCGACGCUCCGGCUGCAGCAGCGGAGGAGCUCCGGGACCCCGGGCACAGAGCUCUGCAGGGCGCCCAGCCCAGCCGGGGGGCGGCAGCUGAGCCUCGGGGGGCCGGAGCAUCCCCAGCAUCUGGAGCAUCCUGGAGUCCAGAGCAUCCCCAGCGGCCAGGGUACCCUGGGUACAGAGCAGCCCUGGCACCUGGGAUAUCCUGGGAUGCAGAGCAUCCUCAGCAUCUGAAGUGCAGAGCAUCCAGAGCAUCUCGGUGCUGUAUUAUUCCUUGGUCCAGUGCAUCCAGAGCAUCAGGGUAUCCAGAGCAUCCUGCCAUCCCUGGCACCUUGGGAACUCUGCCUUCCAGCUCGUCCCCAGCGUCCAGAAGCAGCAUCCAGGGACACCCCAGAGCAGGGGGAUUUACAGGAACUGCUGUGAGUAAUGGGGAGGGAACCUUGGUGCUGCUGAUCGGCUCCUGGGAAUGUCAGCCUGCCCUGAGUGCCAGUGAGGAGAGACAGUGGGGGAAGAGAGGGAGAGGAGGAGGAGAGGAGGAGGGAGGACAGACACAGAGCAGAGAGAUGAUCCUCCUUCCCCAGCGCUGGUGAUGAUCACGUAGCACGGGCCACGCUGGAGAAGGUGCCCAGCCCAGAGCCAGCCCUGCCCCUGGCUCCUCAUGGAGGGGGACCUGGGGGCCCCCAAUGCCAGCGUGCUGGGAGAGCACUCCCUGCUCGUGGGCAGCAGCUGGGUGGCCGCCUUCCUCUGCUUCAUCAUCCUCCUGACCACGGCGGGCAACUUCCUCCUCAUCCUCCUCAUCGUCAGCCAGCGCUCCCUCCGCAACACCUCCAACUAUUUCCUGGUGUCCCUGUUCAUGUCGGACCUGAUGGUGGGGCUGGUGGUGAUGCCCCCGGCCAUGCUCAACCAGCUCUACGGCCGCUGGGUGCUGCGGGGGGACUUCUGCUCCCUCUGGGCCUCCUUCGACGUCAUGUGCUGCAGCGCCUCCAUCCUCAACCUGUGCCUCAUCAGCCUGGACAGGUACCUGCUGAUCACGUCCCCGCUGCGCUACAAGCUGCGCAUGACGUCCUGCCGGGCGCUGGCGCUCGUCCUGGCCGCCUGGGCCUUGGCCGCGCUGGCCUCCUUCCUGCCCAUCAAGAUGGGCUGGCACGAGCUGGAGUUCCAGGUGCAGCCCCUGAACGUCACGGGGGGCCGGGGGGACGAGGAGCAGUGCCGGCUGCGGGUCAGCCUGCCCUACGCCCUGGUGGCCUCCUGCCUCACCUUCUUCCUGCCCUCCGCCGCCAUCUCCUUCACCUACUGCCGCAUCCUGCUGGCGGCGCGCAAGCAGGCCGUGCAGGUGGCCUCCCUGGCCUCCAACGUGGCCACUGCUGAUGAGGCCACGCCACAGGUCCCACGUGCCCCGAGCCAGCCCCUGGCCAGCAGUGAGAGCAGGAGGUUCACCAACAAGCACAGCAAGAAGGCUCUGAAGGCCAGCCUGACCCUGGGCAUCCUCCUGGGCAUGUUCUUUGUGGCUUGGCUGCCCUUCUUUGUCACCAACGUAGCUCAGGCAGUUUGUGACUGUGUCCCGGCCGGAUUCUUCGAUGUGCUCACCUGGCUGGGCUACUGCAACAGCACCAUGAACCCCAUCAUCUACCCGCUCUUCAUGAGGGACUUCAAGAGGGCCAUGGGCAAAUUCCUGCCCUGCUGCCGGCACCCGGCGGAGCCGCGGCCCAGCGCCAUCUCCCUGUCCAUGAGGAACUCCAACAGCGCCGCCCGCGCCGCCACCUCCCUCAAGAACGUGCUCACCCUGCAGGCGGAGACCGACUCCAUGGACUCCGGGGCUCCGGGCAGCGAGCCCAGGCUGCCCCCGGCGCCGCGGGGCCCCGGCGCCCGCUCCGUCAGCCUCUGGGACACGGAGCCCCCGGGCACGGAGCUCAGCACCCCCGUGGCCUGAGCGGGCACACGCGGCUCUGUGCGACAGGAGGGAUCCCAAGGCCCAACACUGAGGGAUCCCAGGGCCCAACUCACACCCUGAGGGAGCUGAUUUGCCACAAGCCAUCUCCCCAGAUCCCUGGUCCGGCACACGGUGCAGCUCAUGGAGGGGAUGGUGGCCCCAGCACUGUCACAGGGAGGAUCAAACCCUGCAAAGGCAGGUGUGGCUGCUGAAUUAACCUGCUUUGUCUCUCUCUCUUUCAUCCCUCCUGCGCUCACCAUCACCAUGCUCUAACCCUUCCUGUGGCCUUUCCACCUCUGGUGUUCCAGAACUGAACUGGAGUUUGUAUGACCAAUCCAGCAUUUCUUUGCCACAGAUCCCUUGGGAUGAGUGACCAGGACACGCUGAGGGCCAAGCACAGGCUCAAACCUCAAACUGUUCAAUGAAUUUUGCUACAGAUGGAGCUUGGGGCUGGUGUUGAGCACCCAGAUCAAGAUGUGCAUCUUCCCACAAUGGCUUAAUAUAAACACAAGCUUGGACUACAACCCGAGUUAAAAAGGAGCAGAAAAAGGUACUGUGGAGUCUGGAAGUGUGUUAGGCACCAAAUCAGCCUUGGGAGAUGGACAGAGAGAGAGGCAGAGUCACCUCUUCAAGCCGAAUGUUCAAAAGCAAUAAUUCUUUCCUGUCUCAUGCAGGCAGUUCUGUGUGAUUGGGUGUUUGCUUGUGGACAAAGCCUUGGAUGAGCAGAGAAUCCCAUCCCAAUCCUGCAGCACCAACAGCAGCUGGCUGAACAGCCCCAACCCCGUGGGAUCCCACAGCCAGUCCCUCCCAUCUCCGCAGCAAGGCACCCCUCAGGGCAGAGCUGGGCAGGUCUGAGCCCCUGGGAUGAUGGAUUUAGGGACAGGAAUUGCCAGGCACUGCAUCCAAACCACGGUGCUUUGCUGGCUCACAGCAUCACCCCAAACCCAGCUGAGCCUGGCUCCACGAGGAAUGAUCUGCAGGUAAGGUCUGCAGGAAGCUGGGAAUGGGAGGGGGAUUAACAUGGCUGUUGGGUCAGUGGGGAGGAGGGGGAGAGCCCUGUGUGAACCAAAACUGGAAGGUGCAAUCCCAGUAUUUCCCUCUCAUGAGUCUACAGGACCCCCAGAUGGGGAUGGAAGAGUUUGAACCCUCCCUUGUGGCAAAGCGUAAAACCCCAGAGUGUGAUCACCCUCCUGCCACACUCCUGCC